UUGGUUAGGUCAAAAAUGAAUAGCACAAAUGGUUUUCAUAGAUUAAUGCAAUAAAAAUAGAAUAAAUAGCUGAUAGUUAUAUCAAAAUAAAUAUUGUUUAACUUAAAACAUAAAUUAAAGUCGAUGAAAACUGUUGAGUUAUGCAUGAGAUAUGUUGAUUAAUAAUGUAAAUCUCCUAUUGUCUGAAUAAGUUGCUCCUACUCGGAAAUAACUAAUUGAUAGUCAGUUAAUUGGUAACGAUAUGGUUUGAUUACUGGCGUCUGUUCCCACUUUAUUUUUUUUUCUUCUUGAAAACAGUUACGGCAGUUGUUUCUUUUAUUUAAACCACACGGCAGUUGUUUCUAAUUGUUAUCACUGGUUCUAAUAAAGCACUGAUGGUUAUUUAUUUUUCUGUUCUACCAGGUGCUGCAAUUGUUUUGAGGUUAAUUUAUUCCAUUUGUCUCCGCUGGUUUCAUCAUAUACUUUCAGGUGAACUUUUGUUUAAGCCUCGGACCGGAGUCUUAUAUUUUGGGGGUGUUUUAAGGACCUUUUUAUUUUAAUGGGGGCAAGCUAUGUGUUGAUGUCACCUGUUUGGUCGUUUGGUUUGCAUGGUUUGAGAUACUUUGAUUUGGGCUUUUGUUUCCAAGAGAGGUUGAGUUCUUGUGUUUGAUGUUUUUAUUUAUGGAGGUGUGUUAGUGUUAUGAGCAGUAAUCAAAUUUUGGUUCAUGUUCAUGUGCGGAAAAAUUAUGGGUCCACUAUUUAUUAUUUUGAUGCGUUUGUAACUAAUAGUUAUUCGGGGUAUGAAUUUUAUUAAAAGAGGUGUUAAAGAAAACUGAUGUGCACGACUUUAAUAUGUUUGUAGAUAUUUUUAUAUGAAAGCAACAGAUCUUCACAUCUGCAUGUAUAUGUUGUCAAGGUCUUUCCUGUGGCAGCUAGUUAAGGGGUUUUGUUGUCAUGACGACUUAUUAUGAACUUCGGUUUGCUUUGUAGACUGUGAUUUGUUGGAGCAUUAUUUUGUUAUGUUUCCAACAGGUCUCAGCUCUUGCUUUCUUUUGAUCAGAUAUAAUUUGUUUGCUUAACUCUUGUUUUUGAGAGGAGA
rnacentral:lncRNA from 1 species